rnacentral:rRNA from 1 species
AAGCGGUGGAUGAUGUGGUUUAAUUCGAUGCAACGCGAAAACCUUACCACCUUUGACAUGUACGGAACCCUUUAGAGAUAGAGGGUGCUCGAAAGAGAGCCGUAACACAGGUGCUGCAUGGCUGUCGUCAGCUCGUGUCGUGAGAUGUUGGGUUAAGUCCCGCAACGAGCGCAACCCUUGUCAUUAGUUGCUACAUUCAGUUGGGCACUCUAAUGAGACUGCCGGUGACAAGCCGGAGGAAGGUGGGGAUGACGUCAAGUCCUCAUGGCCCUUAUAGGUGGGGCUACACACGUCAUACAAUGGCAGGUACAGAGGGCUGCGAAGCCGCGAGGUGGAGCGAAUCCCAGAAAACCUGUCUCAGUCCGGAUUGAAGUCUGCAACUCGACUUCAUGAAGGCGGAAUCGCUAGUAACCGCGAAUCAGCAGGUCGCGGUGAAUACGUUCCCGGGCCUU